UGAAAUUCUGCAAUGUAUCUUUCGUUGUAGAGAUGAAAACUUUGUGACGAAAAGUUUAUGCAGCAAUAUAGGAACAAUUUUUUUUUUUUUGGAUUUUCGGAUAGGGAUAACUAAAUUGCAGCAACAGUAAGGUAGGAAACCAAAACCUAUUGCAAUUCAUGGGGAGAUCAAAGGAUGAUCCGCGGUAGUGGAGAUGAUGGCGGAAUUUGGC
rnacentral:lncRNA from 1 species